rnacentral:rRNA from 1 species
CCUACGGGAGGCAGCAGUGAGGAAUAUUGGUCAAUGGGCGAGAGCCUGAACCAGCCAAGUCGCGUGAAGGAUGACUGUCUUAUGGAUUGUAAACUUCUUUUAUACGGGAAUAACAAGAGUCACGUGUGGCUCCCUGCAUGUACCGUAUGAAUAAGCAUCGGCUAACUCCGUGCCAGCAGCCGCGGUAAUACGGAGGAUGCGAGCGUUAUCCGGGUUUAUUGGGUUUAAAGGGUGCGUAGGCGGCCUGUUAAGUCAGCGGUGAAAUCUAGGAGCUUAACUCCUAAAUUGCCAUUGAUACUGGCGGGCUUGAGUGUAGAUGAGGUAGGCGGAAUGCGUGGUGUAGCGGUGGAAUGCAUAGAUAUCACGCAGAACUCCGAUUGCGAAGGCAGCUUACUAAGGUACAACUGACGCUGAAGCACGAAAGCGUGGGUAUCAAACAGGAUUAGAUACCCGUGUAGUC